rnacentral:lncRNA from 1 species
GUAAGGAGAAGUCCGGACGCAGAUUGUGGAGCUGACUACGGGGAGGCCUGAGUCCCUCCACAGCCACUUCCCAUCAACCAGUCCCUCCCCUCUCUCAGGAUGUCCAAUGGGCACUCUCACCAUUUCUAGGCUUCUAAGGGGUCCCGGCAUCUUGGCUGUGGAUCUCCCAAUACCUACAGGACACAGGGCCACAGAGGGUGGGCCUCUAGGAGCAGAGGACACAGAGUAGCGAAGAGGCGACCUAGAGCUCCAGAUGCAGCGAGAGACAAAGGCCGCGCCAAACCCGGAAGCCGUCCUCUUUGCUCCAGCUGCCUGCCUGAUUGGACGGUUUCCAGCCCAGCGUCUCUGAUUGGAUAAUGCUUAAGGCCCCGCCCACUCAGUCCCUGAGUGACAGAGGAUGUGAUCAGAU